CGUGUGUGUGGUUUUUGUUUUUUUGGUUUUUUUUUUUUCUUGAGGUAAAGCCUUGCAUUUUCUUUUUCGGCUGCUAGAGGGCACUAUGGCUACACAAGUGAAACAAAAGCUAUGAAGUGCUCCCAUUUUAACACUUCAGUGAUACUUUUCCUGUUUCAGUUCUCAUGCUAAUAUUUGCAUUUCUUGCAAAAACCUGUAUACAUCUCUACUAUGUCAGCAGAAAUCCUGUGUGUGUGAACUGAAACAAAGUAUCUCUCUGGAUUUAGGUACCAAUGAUAAAACAUGACUCCGGGUGUUUAAAUCUGAAUAAAACAGAAGAAUGUUUCUGUGUUGCAAAAGGCAUGUAUCUGUUGCCUUUUCUGCUCUGGGAGUUGAAUUAGGUUUGAACUUAUAGAAAACUUUGGGUAGCUUCAUCCUGUUUGUCAAAGAUUUUUGUAAGAAUUAAUCUUUUAAGCAUGUGUUUGUGCUCUGGCAUAGGGAAAGCUAAAACUUAUUGCUGGAAAGUGGAGGUGGACAGAAACGGCACACAACAUUGAGUUUUCAUACAAACUACAAAAAGAAAUCACCAUCCUAACAUAGUUUGAAUAAACUCCACCACUGUAGCCAGUUAUAUUUGCUUUAUGGUAGACUCAUCUGAAAUACAUCAAAUAAUUACUACUGUAGCUCCUCCAACUGGUGCACUGUAAUUACCCAAAACAAUUUUUCAGCUGUGAUGUGGAAUACUUGCUGAUCCUUCUACACCCAUUCACUGUCUCCUGCAGUCUUGCCUGGGUGCACCAGGAAGCUGCUGGUAGCCCAUGCAUUGGAACACUGAGUGUGCAGUGGAGCACUUGGAGCUCAGAGUGCAAUCCCCAUGCACACAAAUCAUAUAUAGGCCAACACCAUGCAGGACGUGUAUGUAACUCAUUCUGUCUUGUUUUCUAUUCCCUUUCAGUCAUUAGUGCAAUGUCAAAAAGUGCUGAGGCACCACAGAUUUUGUUACACUCCUCCUAACUCACAAAAUCAGCUAUGUGGAGAUUAUUAUAUUCUCUCCUUUUUUCUUGAAAGGGGCCGCUGUAUCAGCACCUGUGGAUAAACAUCACAAAAUGCUGCAAGACUUCCAAGGAGUCAGUGUCUUUGAAUUCACCUAAAGAAGGAAACCUUACUUACCAGAAGUGAUUGAGAGAAGAGGAAUUCUGUUUCUGUGUUGAGGUGUCUCCAAACAUCCUUUCAAGUGAAUUUAAAGAGCCAGAACAAAACAUUUAAUAAAAACUUUAGUGAGCAGAAUGUGGAAGCUGAAGUGCUUCCACAGAAGAUCAGAAGAUCAGUUGAGAACAGAAGCCUUGAACUUUGCACAGGACUCAGGACAAGCACAGAACAUGCUGUGCAUCAGCCGUGAUCCACUGAAUUGAAAGCUGCAUAGCCCUGCGUUUGAGCUGACUCUCUGGACCCAUUUGUGUUCUUCAUAGCCUUACAAACUGGGACUUGGCUGUAGGAGCUCUGACUCCUUUUGGCACAUCCUUCAGUGGUUCUGAUGUGGGCAAGGCAGUCUCGGAUCAGUCAACAAUCACCUCCAAAAGAUUGUGAGAAACCUUGAUUUUUGUCUGAUUUUUAGGACCUUCAUUUAGCUUAUUGUGAGUAUGGUAGCUUUGUGUAAAAGGCUGCGUGGCCCUAUGUUAGUGCAGUGCUAAUCCAGCAGGAGCAGGGUUUCCUCCUCUACUCACUAUGGUUCAGCAGAACCAAUGUGCUUGCACUUGCACUUCCUAGAACUCAGCUUUGCCAGCUGGGUGAAGCAGCCUUGAGGCUAGGUUGGAGCAGGAGAUCAUUUUCUCGAAUGGAUCUGUGUAGAAAAGCUAAACCAUUGGCAGGGAACAAAAGCAAUUCUGACAGCAUUUAGCCACCUUAGUCAGGGAACCCAGAAGGUGAGAAGAAAACUAAGUGUAGGUCUGUACCAUGCACUGUAGGACUUGAAAUUAGGUUAGAUGGUAGAAAGGCUGGCUUUGUUUAAAUUUGUUGGGUGUUAAUGAAAUAAACUACCAAUAUUAAAAUUCUAGAAGGAGGUGCUUAUUGCCAGCAGGGGGGCUAUUUAGAGACCACAAACAGGACAGGACUGCUGUGGAACGUGCCUUGAGCUGUUUUAUUUUUCAGCAUCGGUGUCAUUAUAUGAUUAUGACAGUGGAAGAUGACAGCAGCUCACAUUCUAGGCAGCAGACAAAGAACUUAAAGUUACAACUUAUUUUAUAAGUUUCUUAACCAAUCACACAAAGCAAAAGCAUAUUGACAGUAGUUCUAUCCAAUCACCAUGAGCACACGUACCUUUGGUUAAAACAAUGCUUGCUUAUUUCGAAUACAAUAUCUACUUGUAAGCCUUAAAACACAACGCACAGAGCUCCACUAGUAAGCUUUAACCUUUCUAAUAUCUUGCUAGAUAAAGUUUUCUGUAGCUUAGAGAGCUAUUCUAGACAAGCGUUAAUACACAGAUCAUUGUUCUAUUUGUCCUUGCUUUUCUUCAGUAUAAAUAAUUUUUCUGCUGACAUAUCUCAUGACUACGGCUUAGCUCUAAUUACAGUUCUGCAGUCUUUGGGGCCUGUAUUUUGCAGCUUUCUUAAAACCCUCUAAUUUUGUAAAUUCUCACAGUGCUGAGGCAGAUGGAAGCUGAGGUUUCAAGUUCUUGGCCAAAGAAUUUUUUAUCUGCAGGUUUCCUUUCCUGCAAUCUACCCUCUCUGCCAGACCUCUGGGUAGCCUAGUUUGUUGCAGACAAGCCAUGCUGUAAAAGAUUUGGGAAAUACUGCUAAAUCUGGACAAUAGGGCCAGGAAAUACUGAUUCUGACUAGUACUUUCAAAGAAGCUUUCAUUUGGCACUUUAGACUAUCAUCCAAGAUACCUAGAAGUAAAGAGAAGCCUCACUUUAGUGAUUAUUUCUGCAUGGCAGAGUGAUUGCAGAAUUUAGUGUUCCUUGUUAUGAGUCCCUGUGGAGUAGGUUGUGUCAACAGUCAGUUACUCUUUUGAAAGACUACUUAUCCAGUCAAUGGGUGCUUGUGUGUUCAAACCUGUUCAUCCAAGUUAGGUAGGAUAACAUCAACAUGUCAGUUAAUGGAACUUUCCUGUUUGUUAAGCUGUUUAACUUGUUGGCUGAGUGAAUAAAUGGUACGAUGUUGAGUUACUGUCAUGGAACAAGGGAAUCCUCUUUCAUUAUCCUGGCUGCAGAGUAAGAUGAAAAGUACUGGUCUAAGCUCUUGUGGUUACAUUAACAGAAACUCGUCAAUUCAGCCUUCGAAGUGGACACUUUUGCAGUGCAAAAAAUUUCAGUUGCACAAAUCUCCAGUUGCACAAAGAACAAAUGGUCUUGUCAUGACCAUCUUUCUCUGAACUGCUUUGUAACUGUUCUGGACCUUAGAACUGUUAGGAGCCAUCCCUAGUACUGUCUUAUCUGAGAGAGGUUGUGUGUGCUUUGAUGUCUGCUUUCUAAAAUCAGAUAAUCAAAACCAUUCAAAAUUAAAAUAUUUAUGCGAAAGGAAAGGUAGACUGUAUUUUUCAGUCAUAAUCAGAGUCCAAAAUCACAAUGAAAAAUAAUAUCUACUUUUAUCUCCAUGGAUUCAAAUCUCGAAAAGAUCCCCAAAUACUGUAUAUACUGUUACUUGCAAAAGUAUACAUUGUCUUUUGAAGAACUCAGCAUUUUGUUUGUUUUCCUCCAAAUGUCUGGACAAAGAAUGAAUAGUCUUCUCUAACCACUCUGUUUAGUAUUGGUUAGUGGUUAUGGGAACAAUGUGUUAGGAAUCCUCUGCAUGAAUUUUAAAUGGUAUUUUAGAUUGAUGUGGGACUUUCUGAAUUUUUCUUCCACCCCAACAACCACAUAAAUGGUGAGAAAAGCCCAUGAACGUACUUGCAACACCAACUACUGCCUAUAGUAGCUUGCCUAAAGAUCUUGCAAGGUGGUAGACUGUGGGGGCUUCCAAAUAAUUUCAUGUCAUGGAAUAAUGCUGUGGUUUAGUUGCUGCAUAUCCAGCACUAUCACAUUUCAGUAUGUUUUCAUAGCUUUUGCUUUUAGUAGAACUCACUAGAGACAUAGGUUAUUUCAGUGUCUUGUUCCCUGUUGGAAUGCUGGUACUCAGCCUCCUGGUCUACAAAAAUACUAGUAAAUUAAACAUGGCUGGGACCAUUCUCUGACACUGAAGCCAACUGGCAUGGAACAAGUCUCACACACACUAUUAGGUUUCAAAACAGGACCACCAUGUCCAUGUUCUCUGCUAGAAAAGGUCUGACUUGGGAUAGCUAAUCUGGGCCUCUGAGGUGCUAUGCCCUAGCAACAUAGUUGUGGCACCCGCAACAGGGUUCUGGUGCCUAUGAUGUAUGCUGGACCUAUUUGUUUCACUAAAUGUGUCAAGAUUCAGAUGUGUGAUUGAGUUGCCAAGCUUAGUCUAACAGUAGGUAAUAUGAUUUGUUUCCACUGGUAGAUGAAGGAGCUUUAAGGAAAAUCUGUUCUUUUCAAAAGCAGUGACAAUUGUCCUCAAUGUUCUUCAAGGAAUCCAUCUUCUCCAGAGAUAAAUGUCGCUAACUGAAACAGGGAAUGGGUACUAAAAAAAUAAAAAUCCUAGUACUUUAGCUAACGGACAAAUGCAAUUAACAAUUAAAAUUUUGUAGACCAUAACUACUGGAUUUAAUGAAAGGUAUAAAAUGGCGGUCUUGUGAGAUGCAAAAUUAGAAAAAACCUUAUUAAAGAAAAUUAAUAGUAAUCUUCAAGUUGAAAUUCAUGUAGGUGAUUUAUUCAAACUUUCCUGUUAUUAGUAAGGUUUGAAGGUCUCUUGAACAAUCUCUGAGUAUUACCAACAGCCUUGAAAAUUAACCUAAUAAUAAUGCAGUGGUGUAGUCAAAGGGGCAAGCUGCAAUACUUUUCUGGCACGCUUUCCUCUAGAAUUUCAGUAUAUACUGACAGAGGGAGAGCUCUACACAGAUAAUUCUUCCUUUGGCCCUUCAUGUGUAAGUAUGCUUUUGGCACAAUACAUCACCUUAAGUAUUAUAAGUCCAUCCUACUUUCUGCAGUAGGAUGGAAUUCUGUGACCUGAUAAUUUCUGCUGCCAAAUUACUUGCAAGUACAUUGUAAAAAUAUUUUCUGUGUCUAUGUAUGUAUUUCAUCAGCCAUGCUCCCAUCUGUCAAAGUAGAUUGAAUUAUUUAAUGGCCUAAUCAGCUUUCCAAGUCUCCCAUGCAAGCACAAAAACAUCACCGUGAGUUGUAGAGUUACAAGGUUGGUGUAUAAGCAAUUAUUAGAGAUACCUAUUAGAGUUUUCCCAAGUUCCUUAUUGUAGUAGGCAACAAGCAUGUUGGAUUUAGCUAGAUUAUAAGUAUGGUUAUUUACUAGCAGAAGCUGAUGUUUUUAUCUCUUUUAUUUUUACAUUUGAGAAUAAAAUGCAAUUUAUAUUCUGGGCAUCAUCUUGUGGAAGUUCUAAAUCACUUCAUGAGGCUUUCAGCCUAGGUUAUGUCAUUUAUCCAUCAGCGCUCAGUCCAUUUAAUCCAGACCUCUCAGCUGUACAGACCCAGCUCCUGUUGUGAGUGAUCGGCCUGCUUGAGUGCUCCCAGCUUCUCCUGUCACAUCACAUUUGCAUAAAAGAGGACGGAUAACCAAAUUUGAGCACACAAAUGAAAAUGCUAAGCGCUGAACCUGUCACAGUUGUUGUUCAACUAAUUGUGAAAAAUUUGAUUUGCUGGCUUUUCACUGUUUAUCAUGUGGACCCCCUUCUCAAAUUUGCCUUGGCUUCUGCUUCUGUACAUGUAGCUUUUAAACUCUCUACACAAGCAGCCCACCCUGGGGAUUACUUACCUCUCCUACCAGCUUUUAAUGUUGGCUCAUCUACUUGACUAAAUUAGGCCACCAUGGCAAACAAACACAUAAUUAAAAACCUGGGAAAGACAACUGCAGUUGCACUUCUUAAAUUGAUUUUGCAGUCUAUUACUGGUAUAUGCCUUUGCAUUUUGCCAUUUUUAUCUUGUCCUUCUGUAAACCUGGAAAAUGUCUUUGCUUUUGAUUGUAUAGAGGAAGGAAAUAUAUUAAUUCAAAAUGAAAGCUAAUAUUUUCUCCUGAAAUUGAAAUAGUAAAAAACCCACAAUCUUAUUUCUGGGUACUUUAUGGCAGCUUAUUACAGAGAUUCUGUAUUUAUUUGAAAUUAAGACCCAUUUUUGAACUGCCAUUGAAAGAUCAUGGAUGUAGUAUUGUUCAAAUUAUUGUGAUUUUUCAAAAUUCUGGGCUUUGACUUUGCUUUCCAAAUGUACUUACAACUGCUGUUGUAUUUCUAAUUCAGAAUACUUUCUCUUUACUUAGCUGUAAAUCCUUCUUAUGAUUUAUACCAAGAGAGCACCAAUUAAAACAGUUGAAUAUCAUGUUGCUUUUUUUGCUAGGGGAGAGCCAAACAAUUAUCUAUUGAAAAACCAGAAUCAUCUACAAAACCAAAUCAUCCAUCCCUUUGGUACUGUCAUUGGCUGGUUAUACUCUGAAUGCCCAUAACUGUCAUCAUUUAGGAAGGUGGAUGAUAACAUGGGCAUAGUGAAUAUAAAUCUAUCAGGACCAUUGAAGGCUUCUAAAAACAACUUUGUAAGAAAAACUGGUAUUUAGAUGUAUAACAAAAAUCUAUAUUUUUCUAGAAGUUCUAAAAUAUCAAAAUAAUUGUUUUCAAUUGAAAAAAAGUAUUUAUCAGCAUCUAUGGCUGAAAUACUGUUGGAAGAAAAUAAAAUUGAAAUUAUUUUGCUUAAAAUCCUUUUUAAUUUCAUUUUAUUGUGACUGUGAAAGGAUAAAAUGUAAUCUAUAACUGAUCGAGGAUAUAUCUUAAAACUGUAAGAUAUUCCCAACUAUUUGUCUGGUAAGUUUGUACCUAAACUGACUUUCAUCCAGGUUAUCUGUAGUUAGGUGUUGUUUGUUUUAAAUGGUUUUUCUCCCUUCCUGAUGUUUACUUCCUUGUCAAAAGCUGUCACAUUGUCGCAGCCUUCAUUUCACAAGGCUAAAUGGACUGAACUCUUAAAGACCUUUGACAAAGCUCAGUAUAUUUAACUACAGCAAUAUCAGAUUGUAGCAUUCACAAAUCAGUAUGUUGGAGAACACUGUCCUUCUCCUCAUUUUCGAGACUGAAUUCUAUUGUAAUUAAAAAUGUACCAGCAGAAAUUACUUGUGCUGUACUCUGUGCUCCUACAUUUGGCUUGUGAUCACUAAAAUACUAUCAGUUUCCUUUUCUCAUCCUUCCUCCACAUCAUUCUACUUUAUCCCCUUCCUCCUUAACAGCUUUUUACAGUUGACCUCCUUUCCUGCCCUCUUUCUCAAGUUUGCCAAUGAGUUACACUAAAUACAUAAAUCAUAUUUGCAAAAUAAAAUGUUUGGAAAAGAGGGAUACAGAUGUUUGGAACAGGCUGUUCAUUAGCAUAUCAAACCCACAGCAUCUAACUGAGAAAAGCAAAAAUUCAAGAAAUUAAUGUAAGUUAAUUAACAAAAAACUUCAUUCUGUUCUUGAAAAACUGCAGCUAUGCUGCCAACAGGUUUGAUUCUGAAAAUCAGUGAAGUAGCAGUUCCUGGUCCAGAACAAAAGAUCGCUGGCAAAUUUCCAGAAUGUUGUUGCAUCUUUUACUCUGAGUAACCUUCAACAAGAUAUUCCAGAGUGAGCCCAAUAUUCCCUCCCAGCUUCCUUCCAUUUACAAAAUACAUCCCAAUAGCUGAAAUAUCCUGAGACAUCUUUGCGACCAAAGAGGCAGAAGAAAAUUUAUCUACUCAAGGGAAUACGUUGUGUUUUUAAAGUAGAUUUUCUUCAUAUAAAGAGAAGAAUAAAAAAUUUUGUUCCCCUAUUCCUCAGCAGCGGGGCUAAUGUUUAUUGCUAAACUGUUAUCUCAUCUUACCAUGCAAUGACUUGAUCUGAAAAUCCCAUAGAUAUGUUAAUCCUGGUAGAACUGAAUUAAGAAUAAAAAACUAUGCAUAGGGAUAAGAUUCCUUUCUCAGUUUUUAACCAGAAAAUAACACAAAAUAAUGUCUUGCUUUGUUUCUGAUAGAACUUCUUGAGGCAUAGAAAUUUUAUUGCUAAAUCCUGGAAUUUUUUUGUUCAUUAAAAAAAAUAAUCCUCAUCCCUUGUUUUACCUCCUCUGCCUUUCUCUGAACUUAGUUAUGUGUAUUAUUAUAUUUAUUUUGAAGUAGUGUGAGAAACAGAGAAUGGAAAGGAGCAAAUGAAACAGCCAGAAAACAAAAUAUCACCUCUGAGGGUGAGUUUUACAGUCAAAAUACCUAUGACAGUAGGGCUUAAAGGCAGUUUCUGAAAAGGGAAAUUAGAUUCUGAACUGUCUUCAUUACGUUAAUCUGUCUCCUAAGUAAAUGAGAAUAUGCAGGUCUUCGAACUUGGUUCUUGGUGUAGAUGUCUGAUUUAUCAUUUCAGAAACUAAUUUACAGAUUUUCUUUAAGUUCUAUAUCCAUCAAUAUCCUUAUCCAUAAAAUCCUUUGCUAGGCAAGUGAGAGAAAUGUGAAAGAGUGAGGGAAAUAAAUGUGUUUAAAAUUUUGAACAAGUACUAGUGAAAGAUGUUUUGCCAUAUUCCCUCAGCUGUAAUAAAAUGUGCACUUUUCAUUUAUCCUUCUGCUAGAUAUCAAUUGAUACUUGAUUAAAAACAGUCUUCCCUGCUUCUCUAAGUACCUUUGUGUAAUUCAUGGGGAUUUUCUCAUUUUCCCAGGUCUGCUUGGGUAAAUAAAGGUCUCUCCUUGCCUCAGUCUCUUAGGUUGGAUGUUAGAAUAAACAAACUUCCAUUAACUUACUUUUUGUUUUGCUUUAGAUUGCAAGUAACUUUAUCAGCAUGUAAGAGAGACAACUGGUCCAUCUUUCCCUAGAUAUUUUAUUAUACAAGGAUGAUCUUCCCCUGAGCUCAGCUCUUGACCAUAGCUAAAUGCAAAUGAAUAAGCACAGACAGACAUUAUUAGCAGGUUACACAUCUCUCUGGUCUGGGGCACAUACAAGGAAAGACAUAUAUUAAAUUGCCUGUUAUUUUUAUAUAAAAAAGUAAACUUAUUUACCCUAUGAGUAAAAUGUGUGUUGACCUACUGCAUUACAGAAUAAGCACGAACAAGGUUACUUUUUCCCCCUUUCUGCUAAAUAAUAAGGCAACUCAUGCUGAGGGUGCACUUAAACUAGACCUAUAACUCUUGGAAAUUCAUAGAUCGUAAGGCCAAAUGGGACCAUUAUGAUCAUCUUGCCUGACCUCCUCUAUAGCACAAGCCAUAGGGUUUCGACAACAGAACAGUAUUUGUAAUUUCAUAUCCAUUAGAGUGCUAUUUAUAGGAUAUAUAUUGUAUUGAAA